rnacentral:rRNA from 1 species
AAACCGUUCAGGGGUAAACCCGAGAAACCCAAAAGUUCGAACGGGGAGAUUCAUCGUCAGCGCCGCUGGCUUCGCGUCGGUCGGCGAUGCCGGCGCGGGUCCGCCGUGUCUCGCCACGGCUCCCGCGCUGGCACGCCGCUGUGCGCCGAUGCCCGGCGCGCGUCGUCGUGCACUUCUCCCCCAGUAGGACGUCGCGACCCGCUGGGUGCCGGUCUACGGCCCGGGACGGACGGCUGCAACGUCGCCGGUGAAACGGCACGCGGCAAGCCCCCGGUCGCCCGGCCGGCUGCCCGGCGGUACGGUUAGAAACGGUACGAGGCCGCGCCCUCGGGCGCGUCGAGCCCGUCGCAAGCGAGCGCCACGGUACCCGGAGGCUACGGACCCAGUGCCGUCCCCGGUCCUGGCCCGCUGUUGGCAGUACGGUGCACCUUCGACAGGCCUGCGAGGCGCGCGCGCGCGCGUGUGGUGUCCCGCUCGUCCUCCGUGGCGUGAGGGCCCGCGCGCGCGCGCGGCGGCACAUACCGGUCGGCGACGCUACCGCUUUGGGUACUCUCGGGA